UACGAAGGGGGCUAGCGUUGCUCGGAAUGACUGGGCGUAAAGGGCGCGUAGGCGGUUCGUACAGUCAGACGUGAAAUUCCCGGGCUCAACCUGGGGGCUGCGUUUGAUACGUGCGGGCUUGAGUUCGGAAGAGGGUCGUGGAAUUCCCAGUGUAGAGGUGAAAUUCGUUAGAUAUUGGGAAGAACACCGGGUGGCGAAGG
rnacentral:rRNA from 1 species